rnacentral:sRNA from 1 species
GGGAUACAUGUAUGAAUUGUUAACAUUUUGUGGCAUCUCGCUUCCUUGCGUCACAAAAAAUGUAUGGUGCGGUGUCUCAUGCUAAUUGUAUGUAGAUCUAUGGCAAUCUAUGCUAAUUGUAGACAGGUGUAUCUUGUCACGAUUUAUUUCUGUUGUUAUUUUCUUUUCACUCGACUCUUACAAAAUGAAUAAAUUAUGACUAGCCCAACAUCAGGAGUUUAUGGACGUGACGUUGACACGCCUCAGUUUAUGACCAGAUCUCCAAUGGACUUAGCGAAUGGCGCUCACAGCCUGGUUGCUCAAGACACUGUGGAACCAACACAUUAGAAGUAAAUCUUUAUAGAAGCGUCUUGUUAUAAUUCACGUUCCUUUAAGAUGUUGGGAGCUAAUAGAUUUAAAGUGACGCAAUAAGGAUUUCUUCCAUUUAAUGUCUUGUGCUUCGUCAUCGAACUACGAGAAGUGACAUUCCGAUAUCCACUGUUAGAACAACAAUGACCUCCAUCAAUUCUUUGAUCUUUGUCCUUACUGCUGCCUAUUAUUCACUGGUUCCUCCUGUGGAUGGACAUGGUCGUCUGUGGGAGCCACCCAGCCGUAGCACUAUGUGGAUGAGAGGCUUUAAGACCCCAACCAACUACAACGACAACGAACUGAACUGUGGAGGC